rnacentral:rRNA from 1 species
GAUGAACGCUGGCGGCGUGCCUAAUACAUGCAAGUCGAGCGAACAGACGAGGAGCUUGCUCCUCUGACGUUAGCGGAGGACGGGUGAGUAACACGUGGAUAACCUACCUAUAAGACUGGGAUAACUUCGGGAAACCGGAGCUAAUCCCGGAUAAUAUCUUGAACCGCAUGGUUCAAUAGUGAAAGACGGUUUUGCUGUCACUUCUAGAUGGAUCCGCGCCGCAUUGUCUAGUUGGUAAGGUAACGGCUUACCAAGGCAAGCAGGCGUAGCCGACCUGUGAGGGUGGUCGGCCACACUGGAAGUGAGACGCGCACCAGACUCCUACGAGAGGCAGCAGUAGGGAAUCUUCCGCAAUGGGCGAAAGCAUGACGGAGCAACGCCGCGUGAGUGAUAGAGGUCUUCGGAUCGUAAAACUCUGUUAUUAGGGAAGAACAAAUGUGUAAGUAACUAUGCACGGCUUGACGGUACCUAAUCAGAAAGCCACGGCUAACUACGUG